rnacentral:rRNA from 1 species
GCAACUCGCCUGCAUGAAGUCGGAAUUGCUAGUAAUCGUAGGUCAGCAUACUACGGUGAAUACGUUCCCGGGCCUUGUACACACCGCCCGUCAAACCAUGAGAGUUGGCAACACCCGAAGUCAGUAGUCCAACCUCGUGAGGACGCUGCCGAAGGUAGGAUUGGCGACUGGGGUGAAGUCGUAACAAGGUAGC